rnacentral:rRNA from 1 species
AACAAACGCUGGCGGCGUGCCUAAUACAUGCAAGUCGAACGGGGAAAGCUUUCGGGUGAGUACUAGUGGCGCACGGGUGAGUAACGCGUGGAUAAUCUGCCUUGAAGAGGGGGAUAACCAGUCGAAAGAUUGGCUAAUACCGCAUAAGACCACAGGAACUGAGGUUCUAGAGGUCAAAGGUUUUUCGCUUCAAGAUGAGUCCGCGUAAGAUUAGCUAGUUGGUGAGGUAACGGCUCACCAAGGCGACGAUCUUUAACUGGUCUGAGAGGAUGAUCAGUCACACUGGAACUGAGAAACGGUCCAGACUCCUACGGGAGGCAGCAGUAGGGAAUAUUGCACAAUGGAGGAAACUCUGAUGCAGCGACGCCGCGUGAGUGAUGAAGGCCUUCGGGUCGUAAAGCUCUGUCGCAGGGGAAUAACACAAUGAAGGUACCCUGUAAGAAAGGAUCGGCUAACUUCGUGCCAGCAGCCGCGGUAAGAC